rnacentral:rRNA from 1 species
AAAAUACGGGAGGCAGCAGUGAGGAAUCUUCCACAAUGGGCGAAAGCUGAUGGAGCAACGCCGCGUGAAGGAUGAAGGCCUUCGGGUUGUAAACUUCUUUUAUGAGUGAAGAAUAUGACGGUAACUCAUGAAUAAGCACCGGCUAACUACGUGCCAGCAGCCGCGGUUAAUUUUU